GGGGAAUUUUCCGCAAUGGGCGAAAGCCUGACGCAGCAACGCCGCGUGCGGGAAGAAGGCUUUCGGGCUGUAAACCGCUUUCAGCAGGAACGAAAAUGACGGUACCUGCAGAAGAAGGAGCGGCCAACUAUGUGCCAGCAGCCGCGGUGAUACAUAGGCUUCAAGCGUUGUCCGGAAUCACUGGGCGUAAAGGGAGCGUAGGCUGCGCGGUAAGUCAGAUGUGAAAUCCCGGGGCUCAACCCCGGAACUGCAUCCGAUACUGCCGUGCUUGAGGGUUGGAGAGGUAGCUGGAAUUCUCGGUGUAGCAGUGAAAUGCGUGGAUAUCGAGAGGAACACUCGUGGCGAAGGCGAGCUACUGGACAACAUCUGACGCUGAGGCUCGAAGGCCAGGGGAGCAAAAGGGAUUAGAUACCCCAGUAGUC
rnacentral:rRNA from 1 species